rnacentral:lncRNA from 1 species
GGUCUAGAGAGGUGAUUGGGUCAUGAGACUGCUGACCUCAUCCGUGGCCUGCUCCAGUGAUAAGCGCAUAGCUGGAUCGGUUAUUAGGAGAUGGGGCCUUGAAGAGUAUAUCUCGCCCCUGGCCCCUUCCUCUCUGGCUCUUUCCCUGCUACUAUGCUAAUGUGCUUCCUGUCUGCCUGAGGUUGUCAGCUUUGCUCUGCCAUGCCUGCUGCGUGAGGUGUUCUUUUGCCUCGGCUCCAGAGUAGUGGAGCCAGCGGAUCGUGGACUGAAAUGCACACCCUAUAAACAGAGAAAGGCUAGAGCUACCGGGAAACAGCCCACUGCAGCUUGAUAAAACUGGCCACCUCCUCCAGGAUGAGAAGAAACUUGACUGUUGCCUGUUGGACGGUGUCAGGCAGCAGCAGGAAGACUUGGACUGGAGACGUGGCCUCUGUGAGGGUUGGGCUACAGCCUGAAUGGCAGCCACUCCUGCUCUCCAGAAAGGGAAAAGACAUUCAUAGCACGAGCGAGACAACACCAUUCCUUCCUUAUAGCAGAGUGCAGCAUUAAAUUUCAGAACUCUUCAGACUUUCUUCUCUUGACAAUGAGACAAAAGAACAGAGCGCGGACAAAGCUAGUUCUUCAUGAAGUGAGGAAGAGUUGGAUACCAUUUGAGAGAGCACAGGACCUGUUACCACGGAAGACCAUAAUGAUUCCUGCAAGCAUGGCUUUGAUGGCCAAAGCGAAGGAUUUGUUACAGUUAGAAUCGAGACAGGACUAACAAGAUUAAAAAGUGGGACAUCACUGGUUUCUCGCUCGUUCUUAAAGCUGUGACACU